CCCCCGUGAGAGAGCUCCUCGCUAGAACGAGUAUCGACGUGAGAGGACGACUGGUGCAUACGGAUUAGUACCUCGUAGUCAGAGGUAACCGUGCAGACUUGGUGUUGGGGCCCUACGAGAGCGUUCAGUGCCGGAGAGAAGUUGUUAAGUCUGCUACUUGGGGAGUACGUCCGCAAGGAUGAAACUUAAAGGAAUUGGCGGGGGAGCACCGCAACGGGAGGAGCGUGCGGUUUAAUUGGAUUCAACACCGGAAAACUCACCAGCGGCGACUGUUACAUGAAAGUCAGGCCGAUGACCUUACUAGAUUAUCAGAGAGGUGGUGCAUGGCCGUCGUCAGUUCGUACCGUAAGGCGUUCACUUAAGUGAGAUUACGAACGAGACCCUCACCAAUAGUUGCUACCCAGUCCUCCGGGGCUGGGGCACACUAUUGAAUUCAUCGUUCAACAAAGUCAGAGGAAGGAGAGGUCAACGGUAGGUCAGUAUGCCCCGAAUCUGCUGGGCUACACGCGCGCUACAAAGGGCGGGACAAUGGGCUCCGACACCGAAAGGUGAAGGUAAUCCCGAAACCCGUCCGUAGUUCGGAUUGAGGGUUGUAACUCACCCAUCAUGAAGCUGGAUUCCAUAGAAACGGAACAACAACUCGCGGGAAUAACGACGGGCAGCACCCCCGAGGUACUUCAUCUCGACAGAGCUCGAAUCAC
rnacentral:rRNA from 1 species